AAAACACAAAUAUGCAUGGAUGUUUUACAAUUUUCAGAUUUUAUUCAUAGUUAAUAGAUGAUUCAUUAUGAAUGUAGUCAAUCCUACUGACAUUUGGUUUCAUUUAGUUUAUUUAGAUCUGGCCUCUACCUCCUUGGCACACCAAUUUUUUGCUUUUGCAAGAUCAGUAUUUUGACCUCUAACAAAUUCUCAAUUUCCACCAAUCCUUUUGAUUCCGUUAG
rnacentral:misc_RNA from 1 species